rnacentral:hammerhead_ribozyme from 1 species
AUCCAACUGACGAGUCCCAAAUAGGACAAAAUUCUCAUUAUUCUGAACUGGAU